UACCACGACUCCGCCAGGAUUCGAACCUGGGAUAUUCUGAUCCAUAAACAGACUGUUUACCGAUGUACCGCGGC